rnacentral:lncRNA from 1 species
AUGGGGACGAGCAGUGGAUCCUGGCCGAGGUGGUCAGUUACAGCCAUGCCACCAACAAGUAUGAGGCCUUGUUCCAGAAGGAGCAGCUCGUGCUGGCCCUGUAUCCCCAGACUACCUGCUUCUACCGCGCCCUGAUCCAUGCGCCCCCACAGCGGCCCCAGGAUGACUACUCGGUCCUGUUUGAAGACACCUCCUAUGCAGAUGGCUAUUCCCCUCCCCUCAAUGUGGCUCAGAGAUACGUGGUGGCUUGUAAGGAACCCAAGAAAAAGUGAUGCCGCCUGGCAGACUCGCCAUCCCCCAACGACACAGGGCAGGACAGCAGAGGACGUGCUGGGAUUAAACACAUUCCCCCUC